rnacentral:sRNA from 12 species
GAAGCUCUUCUGUUUUGCGAAGUCCCAAGUUUCACUUGGGAUACGCUCCGAACCGAGUUUCGGAACAUAGCAGCAGAGGGGUUUU